CCUACGGGAGGCAGCAGUGAGGAAUAUUGGUCAAUGGACGAGAGUCUGAACCAGCCAAGUAGCGUGAAGGAUGACUGCCCUAUGGGUUGUAAACUUCUUUUAUAUGGGAAUAAAAUGUUCCACGUGUGGGAUUUUGUAUGUACCAUAUGAAUAAGGAUCGGCUAACUCCGUGCCAGCAGCCGCGGUAAUACGGAGGAUCCGAGCGUUAUCCGGAUUUAUUGGGUUUAAAGGGAGCGUAGGUGGAUUGUUAAGUCAGUUGUGAAAGUUUGCGACUCAACCGUAAAAUUGCAGUUGAAACUGGCAGUCUUGAGUACAGUAGAGGUGGGCGGAAUUCGUGGUGUAGCGGUGAAAUGCUUAGAUAUCACGAAGAACUCCGAUUGCGAAGGCAGUUCACUGGACUGCAACUGACACUGAGGCUCGAAAGUGUGGGUAUCAAACAGGAUUAGAUACCCCAGUAGUC
rnacentral:rRNA from 1 species